rnacentral:lncRNA from 1 species
CAAGUUUAGUAGUUGCUGAGAGUGACCAGUAAAGAAUUAGUCCUGACGAUUGAUGAAUGGUUUAAUAAAGACCUAGGUUUAAUCUGCAAGGCACAUCAGAAAAUUGCUUUGAAAUCCUCAAAGAAGUACGUGGCAAUUUGAGCGUAUUUACUGCCUUGAAAUCCUCAAAGGUUUUUGGAGUAUAUUUACAAUUUUCCCAGGGAUGGUCAACAGGAGUUUGAUUUGAUUAAUUAUGAUUAUUUGUAAGUGACAGUUUUCUUCAUUUGGAUGUACCAUGAUGUGGACAACUGAAGACUACGAUACUUUUGAGCCGAGCAGUAAAAAAUUUAAACAGGUGAACUUUAAUUUUUAAGCAAUUUUGAUAAAACAUGAAAAAAAAACAGGGAAAAAAUCAUUAAAAUUAUUUUUUGUGGUUCAUAUGAUUGAGGAAAAAAUAGCUAUAAAAGAUAAGAUGAAUUGAGGUAACAAGAGGGGAAAAGAUAAGAUAAAUUGAGGUAACAAGAGGGAAAAAGAUAAGAUAAAUUGAGGUAACAAGAGGGGAAAAGCAGCAGAAUCAAAUAUUAAAUGGAA